UGAAUGGCUCAGUUUGUUAGAGCAUGGUGCUUAUACUGUCAAGGUUGCAGGUUCGAUCCCCUUAUGGGACAA
rnacentral:tRNA from 1 species